GGUUUUCAUAACCUUUUCAUAGAUCUAAUAUCAUGGUCAAUUCUAAUAUCAUGACAAGCCAACAACAUAUUCAUAGCACAUUAAUAGCAUAGAAAUCAUCUUGAUCAAGUAGACAUGGCAUAACUUAAAGAGACAUGGCAAAAUCUUGGAGCAUGAAGACUAGGUACUUGAUCAUCAUUUAUUCGUUGAGGCACAUUAUCAAACACAUGGUAGGCAUAGCUUUAGCAUGGGAGUCAACUUAAGCACAUGGAUAUGGCAUGGAAUCAUCAUUUAGAUCACAAAUAGGUCAAAGUUCUCAAUUCUUCUUCACUUAGGCAUUUUAACAAACACCUUGCAUGCACUAUUUAAGGCAUAGACCUAAUGAUCAAUUUU
rnacentral:lncRNA from 1 species